GUAGGGAAUAUUGGUCAAUGGACGAAAGUCUGAACCAGCCAUUCCGCGUGCAGGAAGAAGAUUCUAUGGAUUGUAAACUGCUUUUAGCAGAGAAGAAACGCCUUCAUUGAUGAGGGUUUGACGGUAUCUGCGGAAUAAGCACCGGCUAACUCCGUGCCAGCAGCCGCGGUAAUACGGGGGGUGCAAGCGUUAUCCGGAAUCACUGGGUUUAAAGGGUGCGUAGGCGGGAAAUUAAGUCAGUGGUGAAAGUCUGUUGCUUAACGAUAGAAUUGCCGUUGAUACUGAUUUUCUUGAAUUGGGUUGAGGUUAGCGGAAUGUGACAUGUAGCGGUGAAAUGCAUAGAUAUGUCAUGGAACACCAAUUGCGAAGGCAGCUAGCUGGGCCUUGAUUGACGCUGAGGCACGAAAGCGUGGGUAGCGAACAGGAUUAGAUACCCCGGUAGUCC
rnacentral:rRNA from 1 species